rnacentral:rRNA from 1 species
UACGAAGGGGGCUAGCGUUGCUCGGAAUCACUGGGCGUAAAGAGCGCGCAGGCGGUCGUUCAAGUCGCGUGUGAAAGCCCCCGGCUCAACUGGGGAGGGUCACGCGAUACUGAUCGACUCGAAGGCAGGAGAGGGAAGUGGAAUUCCCGGUGUAGUGGUGAAAUGCGUAGAUAUCGGGAGGAACACCAGUGGCGAAGGCGACUUCCUGGCCUGUUCUUGACGCUGAGGCGCGAAAGCUAGGGGAGCAAACGGG